AGUGCUGUAUGGUCCUGCUGACAAAAAAUUGUGCUCUGGGGCAGGUUUUUAUCAAGGAUCUCUCUGUAUUUGGCUCCGUUCAUCUUUCCCUCGAUCCUGACUAGUCUCCCAGUCCCUGACGCUGAAAAACAUCCCCACAGCAUGAUGCUGCCACCACCAUGCUUCACCAUAGGGAUGGUGCCAGGUUUCCUCCAGACAUGUUGCUUGGUAAGAUGGAAAGAUGGGCAAUUUAACUUAUCACAGAGGCUGCUCCAGUACGCCGCCGGUGGAGAAGAGUUAUUCGGAGUUGGUCAAGGACCUGAGCCCUAGGACCAUGCCUCAGGACUACCUGGCA